GACGAACGCUGGCGGCGUGCUUAACACAUGCAAGUCGAACGGAAAGGCCCUGCUUUUGUGGGGUGCUCGAGUGGCGAACGGGUGAGUAACACGUGAGUAACCUGCCCUUGACUUUGGGAUAACUUCAGGAAACUGGGGCUAAUACCGGAUAGGAGCUCCUGCUGCACGGUGGGGGUUGGAAAGUUUCGGCGGUUGGGGAUGGACUCGCGGCUUAUCAGCUUGUUGGCGGGGUAGUGGCUUACCAAGGCUUUGACGGGUAGCCGGCCUGAGAGGGUGACCGGCCACAUUGGGACUGAGAUACGGCCCAGACUCCUACGGGAGGCAGCAGUGGGGAAUAUUGCACAAUGGGCGGAAGCCUGAUGCAGCAACGCCGCGUGCGGGAUGACGGCCUUCGGGUUGUAAACCGCUUUCGCCUGUGACGAAGCGUGAGUGACGGUAAUGGGUAAAGAAGCACCGGCUAACUACGUG
rnacentral:rRNA from 1 species